UCGGAUCCUAACAAAGGUUACUUCCCUUCUCUACAAAGGACAACAACCCCCUCAGAUUUGCCCCGCACAGCAUACUUCUAUAAAGUUCACCGAUAUCUCCAGAUACUUCAGGAGACUCCAGAUGACUCAUCAAUGAAGCAGACAGACCCCUCCCCCCUUGAAGAUAUCCACUCCAUCAGAAGGCAAGAGAAAUUUCGGGGGAACAGUGAGAGACCAAGGAGAGCUCUCCCUUGGCUACAAGCAUCUCUGAUUGAAUCUGGAGCUUGCCCACUUGGCUAGAGUGGCUAAGAAGCUUUUGGGACCUGCCUGUCACUGAUGCUGUCCUCCACCCCAACACUGAAUUUACAAACAUGUUCAGGUUUUACAUUGGUGCUGGGGAUCCAAACUCCGUACUGAAACUGAUGCAACACAUGCUUUACUCACUUGCUCCCCAGCCCUAUUCCUGCUAUUCUUACUGACAUUUUACACAAGAGCAAAAUGAGGCUUCAAGGGAUGAGGUAGCAGCCCAAGGUUGCUUAUUAUGAGCAAAAUAAAAGACACCUGCUUCCAA